rnacentral:rRNA from 1 species
AACGAACGCUGGCGGCGCGCCUAACACAUGCAAGUCGAGCGAGAAGACGUAGCAAUACGUUUGUAAAGCGGCGAACGGGUGAGGAAUACAUGGGUAACCUACCCUCGAGUGGGGAAUAACUAGCCGAAAGGUUAGCUAAUACCGCGUACGCUCCUUGGACUUCGGUUCAGGGAGGAAAGCGAUACCGUGGGUAUCGCGCUCUUGGAUGGGCUCAUGUCCUAUCAGCUUGUUGGUGAGGUAACGGCUCACCAAGGCUUCGACGGGUAGCUGGUCUGAGAGGACGAUCAGCCACACUGGCACUGCGACACGGGCCAGACUCCUACGGGAGGCAGCAGUAAGGAAUAUUGCGCAAUGGGCGAAAGCCUGACGCAGCGACGCCGCGUGGGGGGAUGAA